AAUGAGGUGCCUGAAAAAAAAGGAUUAUCUUGAUAGGGUAAAUUAUGUAAUUAUAUUACUCUCAUUA
rnacentral:tRNA from 1 species